rnacentral:sRNA from 1 species
CUUCCUCAACUUGCUGGGGACAGAUGAAGUGGAUAUGUGAGUCAAUGCCGCCGGCUGUCAGUAUCUGGCCUUCACCGGCAAUUGCCUCGGUUCCCGGCCCGACAAUAAUCGUCACCCCAGGCUGUACAUCCGGAUUUCCGGCCUUGCCGAUGCCGAUGAUGCGUCCAUCCUUGAUUCCGAUAUCGGCUUUAACAACACCCCAGUGGUCAAGAAUCGUCGCAUUGGUAAUGACGACAUCUGCAACCUGUUCAGAAGUGAGCUGACACUGUCCCAUACCAUCACGGAU